CUGCGGUGGGAAAUGGCCUUUAAGCGUCUGUGUGUAACCUGUCUGUGUGUAUAACCUGUUUCUGCGUGUGCUUUGUCUGUGAGCGUGCGUAUAUGUAUACUAUGUGUAUAUAAGUAUAUAACUGUACAUAUAAUCAUAUAAUUGGACGCCGGAAGGUGCCUUGCAUAGUUGCAUGGGAACUUUUCAAAGAGUCCCGUUCGUACCUUGCCGUUUUGGAUCUAGCUUUCAAAUGUGUUAUACAGGGUGUAUAAAAAAAAACUGAACAGAUUUGAAAUUGCUCUCAAUUUCGCAAAACACCUAUUUGUAUCCGGUUUUUUAUAUAUAUAGCUUCUUUGGGUACUUGUAAUGUAGAAUAAUGAAAAAAAUAUCUCGAACUUAAAUUUUGUGAACCAGGGGGGGGGGUGUCUUUUCCAACAAACUAAAAAUGGCUCGCGCAC